CUCACCAGUAUAUUAAAGAAUUGUGAAUAUUUUUUAUCUUUCUUACUGCAGUCAUUAUCCACUCGGAGACCAUACGUUGACCAGAGUGUGCUAACCAAGGAAAAAGGUAUCUCUCCCUGUCUCAGAGUCCUUUUAGACUGGAAAAAUGUUGUACUUUGAAAGGCAACUCACAGUGCUCCACUGAGUUUAACAUAAGAAAGAAAUUAAGCCUUUGUUUCUCUGUAGUCCGUAUAGGCCAGCAAAGAUCUUUAACACUUGCACAAUAUUUAGAGGCAGGAGAGGUUCCACUGAAGUCUCUGGUCAGCAUUGUGCAGACAGUUGAUUAUCAGCUUUGGUUAUCUAGCUGAGCCAAAAUAAGAAUACAUUGGUUGGCACUGCCUGAAGUAUUUCAAAUCUUACUUAGGUUAUGUGUUGUUUGCUUUGAGGAGAAGGUGGAAAACUGCAUGUGAAAUUUAAAGUGUAUUUCAGAAAUGAAAAAUCAGGAUGGUUUACAUGUUAAAAAUAUCAAAAUGGGACAUUUCGUCUUUUUCACUUCAGGGGGAGGAAGAAGACAAAACUAUGCUGGUGUGCAAAAGCGGUGCUGAAUAACCCUAGAAAGGAGGUCUACUCCUGCAUCCCAUUUCCCACUGAAGUCGGAGGAGGAGUUUGCUCAGCCCAACAUCCAGGAGUUCACCAACACAAUGGCUUUCCAAGCAGUUGGGUGGACACACGGAACCAACCAGUCCCAUUCUGGCAUGCGCAUGAAAUCUCCCUAGCAACAAAGAUGACAGCUUGGUAACAGCAGCUGCUGCUUAAUGGAAAACAUUAGAAAAAUAACUCAUUCUGGAUCUAUGUUCCCUCUUUGCAUUUUCAUAUUUAUCACAAGAAAAGUGUUCUAAGAAAAAAACACCCCACACCAUCCAGAACUUUAAAAAGCUUUAAGGCGCAAGGGUCAGACACACAGCUGUGCAUGUAAAGAGAUGAGCUUCAAAAGUGUGAUUUUGUUAUCGUGGCACAUACAUUUUUCUUUUUAGCCACACCUAUAUUGUUUGUGACUUAACAAGUGGGCCUGUGUACAUGUUGUGGGAGUGCCAUGGAUGUGCUAUUAUUUAUUCUUGCAUCAAACAUGAGAGACGGCCAAAUAUGUGUUAAAUUCCAAGUCAGCAUUUUUGGUUACUGUUGCUUGAAGUACAUCCAUUUCUUCAAGUAUAUCAGAGCUUGGUUCAACAGAAAGGAUUUAGUAUCCAUACAAAAGCAAAUCCGUGUGUCUGGUAAAAUCUUCCCCUUUUUAUUUCUUUAAUAAAAGCAAACACCAAAUUAUUUUUUCUUCUGUUGUAAGUGUUCUGAAAAAGUCCAGUGAAGACAUAAAGACAAGUAUAUAGCAGCUCCCUGAAAUGAAAAACAAAUCAGAGUAGAGCUACAUCACCAUGUGAAAUAGACAAAUUAGGUGGAGAUACAUUAACUACUGUCAUUCAUCAGCCUGAAGUGAUACAAUUUACUACAUGGUAAUAAUGGCCAUAGUUGUAUAAGUAGUAAAGGUAAAAUUACAUCAUGACUUGCAUUAGCAGUAUGAGAUUAUAUCCUGAUUAAUGCACAAUGAACUUGUCAUGUGUACAGCGCAUGUGUUUGUGUGUGCACAGCUGGGUUAUGCUAUGUCUCAUGCUCACAUAUGUAGCAUUUAUCACUUUCUUCUCUAUCUCCAGAAAUUAAAUGGCUUCAUCUACUAAAAUCCAUAAACACCCUGCCAGCUUAAUGCAGAGCCAUCUAAAGUACAACUAAGAGACCCUUGGAAAUGACCACUGGAGAAUCUUGAACACCUGCAUGAAUCCUCUCCACAGACUGGGAGCUGCAUCCACAGCUCCAAGGAGACAUCUCCAGGGUGAGAGCAACAACCUUACCUGCUCUUCGGCUGGCAGGCACCAGGUACCUGAACUGUUCUCAGAGAUGUAUAUCAGAGCUCCUACUCCCAAGAGAAAGCCCCCAACACACAAAAUGACCACGGGAGUGGUUUGUGUGUCUCUUGAAGUACUUCAAGAUGACAGAAGAGAGACGCUUCCAAUUGCACCAGCUGAAAUAACUGACUUAGUCUUCACUUGUAAGAGUGAAUUUAAGAUUCAAUGAUAUCAACGCUUACAUUGUCCAAGGAAAAAGCAGGAGCUGUAGUGCUUGGCAAGGCAGAACAGUGACACUUCCCAUCCAAGGCACAUCCAUGUAAAUGGGCAAAAUGAAUCCAACUGCAUGAGGUUAUUCUCGUACAGCAGUAAGUAGUCAGCAGCACUAUACAGCAUAGCCCUACAUUUCCUUAUUUACACACCAGUAGCCAUUCCAGCUACCUUAAAAGUGAAUCGAGAUUUUACAGGGAGAUAAUGUUAUCAUGUCA